rnacentral:rRNA from 1 species
AUGUGCUUCAUGUUUGACCCUUUUUCUACUAGUGCCCGUAGGCUUAUCUCGGGCGGUCCCGACGGCCUUGUCUAUGCCGACGGCCCCGUCAGCAUAGAUUUAUGUAUGCCGACGGCUUUUCUACGCCUACGGCCCAUCCUUGGCCGUCGGCAUAGGUGCGGCGAUGCCGACGGCGAUUUGGCCGUCGGCAAACCCGGUUUUUCUGGUAGUGUGCCCAUGAUACGAGACCCGGCCGGGUUCUGGGACACACAGGUGGCCCGGGCAAACAAGUCCGGCACCGCGGCUGACUUGGUGGUCGGCCAGUUCAUCGUCUUCAUCCGCGACUCGGAGCUAUCCCACCGCGUCUUGGCCAACGUCCGCCCCGACGCCUUCCAGUUCGUCGGCCACCCUUUCGGCAAGAAGCUCUUUGGUAUCUUCUACCUGUUCGGCGACGAGCACAAGGACCUGCGCUGUAGGAUGGCGCCCAACUUCACGCCGCGCACUCUUUCAACCUACGCCGCCGUCCAGCAGCGCAUCAUCCUCGCCCACAUCCGGAGGUUGCUAGACCGGAACCGGAGCUCAGCCGCGACGCCGACGCCCAUACCCAUACAGGUAACCUGCCGCAACAUAAACCUUGAGACCUCACAGACGGUCUUCGUAGGGCCGUACCUCACCGAGGAGGCGAGGCAGAGAUUCGACAAGGGCUACGCUCUCUUCAACGCGGGUCUCCUGGCAAUGCCCGUGGACCUGCCCGGGUUCGCCUUCAGACGGGCGAAGCUGGCCGUGGCGCGCCUGGUGCGCACGCUCGGGCAGUGCGUACGGCAGAGCAAGGCACGGAUGCGCGCCGGCGGCGAGCCGGAGUGCCUCGCUGACUACUGGAUGCAGGCACUGGUGAAAGAGAUGGACGCGGACGCGACGCCUCCCAUGCACACCGAUGACGUCGAGCUUGGGGGCUUUCUGUUCGACUUCCUCUUCGCCGCCCAGGACGCGUCCACCUCUUCGCUCUGCUGGGCUGUCUCCGCCCUCGCGUCCCACCCAGACGUCCUCGCCCGCGUGCGCGCCGAGGUGUCCGCGAUCUGGUCGCCGGAGUCUGGGGAGCCCAUCACCGGCGAGAUGAUCCAGCAAAUGAAGUAUGUUGGCCCUGUCCCGAUGCCGAGUGGUCCGGUACCGUCCUUGGCGGCGCUGGUGCCGCACAUUGCCGCGGAGCCGUUCCAGCUGACGGAGUGGUACACGGUGCCAAAGGGCGCCAUCGUCUUCCCGUCGGUGUACGAGUCGUCGUUCCAGGGGUUCACCGCGGCGGACGAGUUCGACCUGGAUCGCUUCUUCUCGGAGGAGCGCAGGGAGGACGUGGUGUGCAAGCGCAACUUCCUGGCCUUCGGCGCUGGCGCGCACCAGUGCAUGGGCCAGCGCUACGCCCUCAACCACCUCGCGCUUUUCAUGGCACUCUUCGUCUCCGUCGUCGACUUCAAGCGGGACCGGACGGAGGGGUGCGACGAGCUGGUGUACGCGCCGGCCAUCAUGCCUAGGGAUGGCUGCGCCGUCUACCUCCAGCAGCGUUGCUCUUCCUUCUGA